rnacentral:snRNA from 1 species
UUGCUUUGGCAGCACAUACACUAAAAUUGGAACGAUACAGAGAAAAUUAGGAUGACACACAAAUUCACGAAGUGUUCCACAAAAAC